rnacentral:misc_RNA from 1 species
AACUGAUACUACCUGCGGGAACCUGCGGAGGGAUCAUUACUGAGUAACGUGGUCUUUUAGACCCGCUACCCGCCCUAUGUCAUAUGUUGGACGAGGUCGUCUCUAAGGGCGGCCUCCGACCCCACUUCCCGGGAAGCGUUGCGCCCCAUCAGGUCUAGGCCUUGAUGGGGAUGGGACCGCCCGGGGUCUUUUUCAAACCCUUUGUAAGAAAUCUGAAGUCUGAAGCGAAAGCUUAAAAUA